GACGAUGGUGUCCUUAGCCACAUUUCUCUUUGUCUUUUCUAUCCUUAAACCUGGGUCCCCCUCUGAAAUUCGACUGACUCAGUCUGGUGAGGGAAUCAGAAAGCCUGGAGAAUCCCUUCAGUUGACCUGCGCUGUCUCUGGUUACACCAUCACUACUGGCUAUGGUUGGCACUGGGUCCGCCAGCCUCCAGGGAAAGGACUGCAAUGGAUAGGAAGGGGAUAUUACAGCAGUUCAAGAUGGAACACAGAUUAUGGUUCAGCCUUCCAGAGCAGGAUUUCCAUCACUCUUGAUUCAUCCAAGAAUGCAUAUCAUCUCCAGCUGAAUUCCCUGACAGCUGCAGACACAGCCAUGUAUUACUGUGCAAGGGAACACAGUGACACAGAGAAAGUCUGCCAUCUGUACAAAAAGGAGAAGUUUCCUUUUUUUCUGCUUCUGUUGCAAGUUCUUCCUUCAAUGCACAACUCUGUUUUUCAUCCAGAAGGCAUUCAAAAUUACAUGUUGAUUGCUACAAAAAAGUGUGUUCCCUGCAUUCAAUGA